GACGAACGCUGGCGGCGUGCCUAAUACAUGCAAGUAGGACGCAGUUGCGAACGGGUGAGUAACGCGUAGGUAACCUGCCUAUUAGAGGGGGAUAACUAUUGGAAACGAUAGCUAAUACCGCAUCCAUCGGAUGUGCCCAGAUGGGAUUAGCUAGUAGGUGGGGUAAAGGCUCACCUAGGCGACGAUCCCUAGCUGGUCUGAGAGGAUGACAAGCCAAACUGGAACUGAUACACGGCCCAGACUCCUACGGGAGGCAGCAGUGGGGAAUCUUCCGCAAUGGACGAAAGUCGGACGGAGCAACGCCGCGUGAGUGAUGACGGCCUUCGGGUUGUAAAGCUCUGUUAAUCGGGACGCGGUACCGGAAUAGAAAGCCACGGCUAACUACGUGCCAGCAGCCGCGGUAAUAC
rnacentral:rRNA from 1 species